UGUAUAUUGAAAACUAACAAUAGUAUUAAAUUAGUGAAGAUAACUAGAAAACAGUGAAGAAUAAGUUCACAUUAUUUUAGACAGCGUUUGAAGCUUUUAUUUUGAAUACGCUAACGUUACUUCCGGUGUAAAUAACAUCUCUACUGUUUCUGUGCGUAUCCGCGUUCCUUUCAUUUACUAAAUCAAGAGACAAAUUCAGCAAUUGGGAGAUGGUUCAGCUGUACUUCAAACGAGGAGAUGAGAGUAAGUUUCUUUUCAGUAAUGCAGUGGAUGUGUCGAUUGAGACACUGGCCCAGCAGGUCUGCGCCAUCUAUAAUGGAAGAUUAAAAGUGGACAGGAUCUGCUCUGAUGUUACAGAAGGAUGAGCUUGGAUGUCGAAAUGGACAUGCUCCGAACAAGAAGAUGAAAGAAGUUUUAAGGAAAACAGUGGAUGAAGCCAAA